UGCGUGGGCCCUGACUCCAUUUACAAGUGUGCUGAGGCUGGCGCUAACAUGAUCGUUUCGGGCAGCGCCGUGAUUGGCAGCGACGACCCUCGCUCCGUCAUCGCCCUCCUACGUACCGUCGUGGUAGAGGCUAUCCAAAAACGCUCGCUGGACCGUUGAGAUGACCUUUUGAUGACCUUUGGUGGAUGUGGCAGGUGAGCCCGGACCGGAAGGACCGUCACAAUUUUGUGAAAGAAUCCGGACUGUUAAACAUUCCUGAACAGUUUUAUUCCUACUUGGAAGGGAAUUGAUCCAAAAAGCUUUUUCUAUAUACUGUGUAUAUACACACUUUUCUGGCAAACAUCUGUGGGAGUUGAUUUUGUUUAUUAAAAAGCCUUCAGUCAUU